rnacentral:rRNA from 1 species
AGCGAACGCUGGCGGCAGGCUUAACACAUGCAAGUCGAACGGGCGUAGCAAUACGUCAGUGGCAGACGGGUGAGUAACGCGUGGGAACGUACCUUUUGGUUCGGAACAACACAGGGAAACUUGUGCUAAUACCGGAUAAGCCCUUACGGGGAAAGAUUUAUCGCCGAAAGAUCGGCCCGCGUCUGAUUAGCUAGUUGGUGGGGUAAAGGCCCACCAAGGCGACGAUCAGUAGCUGGUCUGAGAGGAUGAUCAGCCACAUUGGGACUGAGACACGGCCCAAACUCCUACGGGAGGCAGCAGUGGGGAAUAUUGGACAAUGGGCGCAAGCCUGAUCCAGCCAUGCCGCGUGAGUGAUGAAGGCCUUAGGGUUGUAAAGCUCUUUUACCCGUAGAUGAUAAUGACAGUAUCGGGAGAAUAAGCUCCGGCUAACUCCGUGCCAGCAGCCGCGGUAAU